UUGAAAUAUAUAUAAAGUCUAACCUGCCCACUGAAAUUUUUAAAUGGCCGCAGUAUUUUGACUGUGCAAAGGUAGCAUAAUCAUUAGUUUUUUAAUUAAAAGCUUGUAUGAAAGGUUGGACGAAGUAAAAUCUGUCUCUAUUUAAUUUAAAUUAGAAUUUAAUUUUUAAGUUAAAAAGCUUAAAUUUUUAUAAAAGACGAGAAGACCCUAUAGAACUUUAUAAUUUAUUUAAUAUAAUUAAUUAAGAUUUAUUUAAGUUUUAUUAUAAUAUAAUUAUUUUAUUGGGGUAAUAGAAAGAUUAAAAAAAUUCUUUUUUUUUAUUAACAUUUAUUUAUGAUAAUAUUAUUAAUGAUCCAUUUUUAAUGAUUAUAAGAUUAAGUUACCUUAGGGAUAACAGCGUAAUUUUUUUAAAGAGUUCAUAUCGAUAAAAAAGUUUGCGACCUCGAUGUUGGAUUAAAGAUUAAUUUAGGUGUAGAAGUUUAAAUUUUUGGUCUGUUCGACCAUUAAAUCUUUACAUGAUCUGAGUUCAGACCGGUGUAAGCCAGGUCGGUUUCUAUCUUUAUUAAAUUUAAAUAUUUUAGUACGAAAGGACCAAAUAUUUGAUAUAUUAAUAUUUAUUUUUUGAAUAUUAUUAAUUAUUUUGGCAGAUUAGUGCAAUGAAUUUAGAAUUCAUAUAUGUAAUUAUUUUUACAAGUAAUACUUGUUUUAUAUAGAUUUAUUAUUUUCUUUAAUUUUUAGAUUAUUAUUGAUUAUUUGUGUUUUAGUUGGAGU
rnacentral:rRNA from 1 species